AGCCUAUUGGUCCAAUUUUUUCCCUGCUGCCACAAUACUGCAGACACAUAACCAUCCUGUUUUAGUCAGUUUAAGCUUGCACUUACAAUACAAGGCUUUAACAUUUGCUAUCUACAUAAGCACACUUUUAAUGUCAUAUUGACAAAACCUCUGCUCGCCGAUUCGAAUCGCUGGAAGUGGACCAUGGCGGCUGCCACGAGCAGCAAUACAUCCACAACCACGCUCCAGAUAAAGCAUUCCAGUAUCGAGCAUACGCGGAAACGCAUAGACCCUCGGAGGAGACAAGCCGCACUCUCUUUUCUCAGUAACAUUUCUUUGGAUGGUCGACCGGUGCAAGAUGAUGCCGACAAUCAGAUCGAAGAGGAUAAUUCAAUUGAGUCGAGGACUAGACAGAGCCUGGUUUCUGCAGCAGAGCGUCCGCUGUACGCGGCUGGCAGUGGCACAGGGGUAGCGACCCCCACGGCCACCCAGGCGCUCGCUAUUGCAAACCAGGCUCUGAUUGCUAACGCACGAGAUAGUUAUAGUUUUGGGAUUGGUCCCGCCGCUGCAGCUCAAGCGUGUACAGAUCCGGAAGGGGAUGCUUUCGGCCCUUCGAUUUUCAGUUCGCCUUUCUCUGCAGUACCAGCCGCGAUUAGAGGCAGGCUUCAAACCUACACUCAGGGAGUUGUGCCUGCUGCCUACUCCAGGCAGGCUUCCCAAGGCUUCUGUUUGGAGGGAGGACAGAUAGCCAACUCUGUCCUGGAGCUGCAGAGAUCAAGACGGAGGCUCAUCUCUCAGCGAUCCUCCUUGGAGACACUGGAAGACAUUGAGGAGAACGCCCCUCUACGCAGAUGCAGAACCCUCUCAGGUUCACCCCGACCAAAGAGCUUCAAAAAGGUCCACUUCAUCAAGAACAUGAGGCAACAUGAUAUGCGCAAUGGAAGGAUAGUCCUAAUCAGUGGCAGAAGAUCCUUGUAUAGUGUAUUUUCUGUCCUGCCCUAUCGAGAUUGUAGCCAAGCAGGGGAUGUGAAACUGGAAAGCGGGCGGCAGCGUCACCCCUCGGGCGGGGUCAGUGCCAAGGAGAUAGUGAUCGGGCUGGAGGGAGUGGAGCUGGGGGCCUAUGGAAAGACUGUAUCAUACACUCAGUUCCUGUACCCCACCAACGCCCUGGGCAGCGGACGCAGGAACACCAUCGACUCCACUUCAUCCAUCUCUCAGUUUCGUAACGCCAGCCACCGCAGCCUCAGCUUGGGCCGGGCCAACAGCAAUCAGAGCAGCAUCGACACAGGGAAUGAUCUGGGGGACUUGAUCCGGGAGUAUGACCCCAAUCUGUUGGACGAUCCCCAGUGGCCAUGUGGGAAGCACAAGAGAGUCCUCAUCUUCCCCUCCUACAUGACUACAGUCAUAGAGUACGUCAAGCCUUCUGACCUCAAGAAGGACAUGAAUGAGACGUUCAAGGAGAAGUUCCCCCACAUACGGCUGACCCUCAGCAAAAUCAGGAGCUUUGACCUUUUAGCGUUUGUCUUAUCUCCCCGCCUUCACCACCUUCAACCCCCCCCUCCAACCCCAGUCUGAAGAGAGAGAUCCGUAAAUUGGCCCAGGAAGAGUGUGGCUAUGAGGAACCCACCGUAGCCAUGGCCUUCGUCUACUUCGAGAAGCUGGUCCUCCAGGGGAAACUCAACAAGCAGAACCGCAAACUCUGUGCCGGUGCCUGCGUCCUGCUCGCUGCCAAGAUUGGCGGAGACCUCAAGAAGCACGAGGUCAAGCAGCUCAUAGACAAACUGGAGGAGAGGUUUCGUGUGAACAGGAGGGAGCUGAUAGCCUUUGAGUUCCCUGUGCUUGUAGCCCUGGAGUUCAACCUGUACCUGCCUGAGCACGAGGUCAUGCCCCACUACAGACGCCUCGUCCAGACCUCCUAGCAUUAGUGACCCGUCAGGAGGAGCACCUAGACCAUGCCCUUCUGAUCCAGGACCAGAAUCUACACCACACCCUCCUCCCCACCCCACCACUGGGUGCCACGACCUUGUCUCCUCUCUGCAGCCUGGGGAUCCAUUAUGGACCAUGAUGUGGGAGCUCCACUACACUCUACUGCAGGCCACAUUCAUAUCUUCAUUUUCAGAUCAAGACUUGAAAGCAGCCAAAGUGACACGUAUUUCCAUACAUAUAUUCUUACUUCAACAUUUUUCUCAGACUUUUACUCCUACAUUCGAGACUACUUACAUCUUCAAAAGACUUACACUAUCAUUCAAACGUUUGGGGUCACUAAGAAAUGUCCCUGUUUCUGAAAGAAAAGCAAAUUUUUUGGUCCAUUUAAAAUAACAUCAAAUUGAUCAGAAAUACAGUGUCGACAUUGAUAAUGUUGUAAAUGACUAUUGUAGCUGGAAAUGACAGAUUUUUAAAAAUUGAAUAUUUACAUAGGUGUACAAAAGGCCCAUUAUCAGCAACCACCACUCCUGUGUUCCAAUGGCACAUUGUGUUAAAAGGCUAAUUGAUCAUUAGAAAACCCUUUUGCAAUUAUGUUAGCACAGCUGAAAACUGUUGUUCUGA